CCUACGGGAGGCUGCAGUGGGGGAUAUUGCACAAUGGGGGGAACCCUGAUGCAGCGACGCCGCGUGGGUGAAGGAGUGCUUCGGCAUGUAAAGCCCUAUCGGCAGGGAAGAAGCAAGACGGUACCUGACUAAGAAGCCCCGGCUAACUACGUGCCAGCAGCCGCGGUAAGACGUAGGGGGCGAGCGUUAUCCGGAUUCACGGGGCGUAAAGGGAGCGUAGACGGCCAUGCAAGCCAGGGGUGAAAGCCCGGGGCACAACCCCGGGACUGCGCUUGGAACUGCAUGGCUGGAGUGCGGGAGGGGCAGGCGGAAUUCCGGGUGUAGCGGUGAAAUGCGUAGAUAUCAGGAGGAACACCAGUGGCGAAGGCGGUCUGCUGGACAGCAACUGACGCUGAGGCGCGAAAGCGUGGGGAGCAAACAGGAUUAGAUACCCGUGUAGUC
rnacentral:rRNA from 1 species